GGUAUCCUGACCGUGCUAAGGUAGCAUAAUCAUUUGCCUUUUGAUUGAAGGCUAGUAUGAACGGACAAAUGAAGAUUAAACUGUCUCCUCGAGACCACUAAAAAUUAAUUUUCAGGUGAAGAAGCCUGAGUAAUAAUAAAAGACAAGAAGACCCUAUUGAGCUUUACUUAAACCUUAAGCUAUUCUAAUACUUUUAUCUAGUUACAUAGAGGAAUAAGUUUGGUUGGGGCGACAAAGGAAAAUAAAAAUCUUCCUAAAAUUAAAAAGCAUAUCAGCUAAACUGACCCGGAUAUACCGAUUAAAAGAAAAAGCUACCAUAGGGAUAACAGACUAAUCCUUCUAAAGAGCCCACAUUGAUAGAAGGGAUUGGCACCUCGAUGUUGGCUUAGAAUACCCCUUCGGUGCAGCAGCCGAAAAAGGUUGGUUUGUUCAACCAUAAAAAUUCUACGUGAUCUGAGUUCAG
rnacentral:rRNA from 1 species